GACGAACGCUGGCGGCGUGCCUAACACAUGCAAGUCGAACGGGGUGUUCCUUCGGGGGACACUUAGUGGCGGACGGGUGAGUAACGCGUGAGUAACCUGCCUUACAGAGGGGGACAACAGCUGGAAACGGCUGCUAAUACCGCAUAACGUAUAUUUAAGGCAUCUUAGAUAUACCAAAGGAGCAAUCCGCUGUAAGAUGGACUCGCGUCCGAUUAGAUAGUUGGUGAGGUAACGGCUCACCAAGUCGACGAUCGGUAGCCGGACUGAGAGGUUGAACGGCCACAUUGGGACUGAGACACGGCCCAGACUCCUACGGGAGGCAGCAGUGGGGGAUAUUGCACAAUGGAGGAAACUCUGAUGCAGCAACGCCGCGUGAAGGAAGAAGGUCUUCGGAUCGUAAACUUCUGUCCUAAGUGAAGAGAAGAAGACGGUAGCUUAGGAGGAAGCCCCGGCUAACUACGUG
rnacentral:rRNA from 1 species